rnacentral:lncRNA from 10 species
CUGACCACGCCCCGCGCGCGGCCCCGAGGCCCUGAGGCCCAGGGCGGGGACCAAAAGCCGCGCGCUUGUGACGAUGUCGCUGCGGGGCACGCUAAGGGGCGGAGAGGAAAUUUAGGGCCUGCCUUUUGUACAUUCGGUUAUUCAGCCCAGAAAUAUGUAUUCAACCCCAGGCGCGUGCCUGGCAUUGUGGAAGGCGACACGUGAGGAGAAUUGUGACUGGCCCAGAUGUCACCCCCCCCCAGCCCAGUAGUCAUUCUUCUCUGGAAGUCCUUACCCAUCUCACCUGUUCAUUCUUCAACCCCCAGUUUCCCGACCUUUUUCCUCAAGCCACGCCCUUCCACGCUUUCUUGUCUUUUCUGUGGUGUUCCUUCAGUCUAGAAUAUUCUCCACCUAGUACAAUCCUGCUCCUCCCCUGACAUUCUGCUGAAAUUGCACUCUUCAGCCUUCCCAGGUACCAGGAUGAGACAACUCUACUCAGACCCAAGCACACCAAGCCAGGAAUGCACAAAGGACGGCUGAUGUUUGAGAUAAGAACUGUCUCAAGGACUUUCUAUAAUAACCACACAAGGAAUUCCUCAUGUACGUCACAAGUCUCAUGCGUUUCUCCACCUACGUUUUGCACAUGUGCACACAUUUAUUGAUUUAGAGGCAGGGAUCUUGCUGUGCUGCCCAGACCGGACUCAAAUUCCUGGGCUCAAUCGGUCCUCCUGCCUCAGCCUCUAGAGUAGCUGGGACUCCAGGCAUGCGCCACCCUGUUAUUUCUGUGACCAGGCUUAGCACUAGGCAUUCUUUCGGACGACAGCAAUUCAAAUAAGAUGCUCUCCAAAGAACACUUGCCUAGUAGCGGCAUCUCCAAAAAUAAAUUGAUGCCGCUCCGGCUUUGAGCCUCCAGAACCAAAGAAACCUGUUUCCAGACAGCUUAUGUGAACUUCUACUUUUGGCCAAUAAGAGCUCCCACUUACCCCUGCCCUAUUCAGGUGCACCUGUGGCUUGCCAUAGCCAUAUAGCCAGGUGCACCAUCCUUUUUGCCUGCUCCUGAAUAAAUUAAUUAUAUUAGGAGACAUCUUUCUCUGAUGUCUUUUUUAGGUUAGCAACUCUAAUAUGUUGGAAGAAUACAGGCCAGCUACUUUGUAGAAUGUUCCUCAAUUUGAGUUUGUAUGAUGCUUUCUCAUGAUUAGAUUCAGGUUAUGUAUGUUUUGCAAAAAUAUAAAGAGGAUUCAGAUCAAACUGAACAUCAGU